ACGGCUCAGUAACACGUGGCUAAUCUGCCCUUGGGACCGGAAUACCCCCGGGAAACUGGGGCUAAUUCUCGAUAGGUGAAGAACUCUGGAAUGAGUCUUUGCCAAAAAGACGUUUACGUUAUGCUCGUAGGCGUCGCCCAAGGAUGAGGCCGCGACCGAUCAGGUUGUUGGUGAGGUAAUGGCUCACCAAGCCUUUUACCGGUGCGGGCCGUGAGAGCGGGAGCCCGGAGAUGGGCACUGAGACAAGGGCCCAGGCCCUACGGGGCGCAGCAGUCGCGAAAACUUUGCAAUACACGAAAGUGUGACAGGGCUAUCCCGAGUGCCAUCCGCUGAGGAAGGCUUUUACCCAGUCUAGAACGCUGGGGGAAUAAGGAGAGGGCAAGUCUGGUGUCAGCCGCCGCGGUAAUACCAGCUCUCCGAGUGGUGUGGAUGUUUAUUGGGCCUAAAGCAUCCGUAGCUGGCUAAGUUAGUCCCUUGUUAAAUCUACCGAAUUAAUCGUUGGAUUGCGGGGGAUACUGCUUGGCUAGGGGACGAGAGAGGCAGACGGUAUUUCCGGGGUAGGGGUGAAAUCCUAUAAUCCCGGGAAGACCACCAGUGGCGAAGGCUGUCUGCUAGAACGCGCCCGACGGUGAGGGAUGAAAGCUGGGGGAGCGAACCGGAUUAGAUACCCGGGUAGUCCCAGCUGUAAACGAUGCAGGCUAGGUGUUUGGACGGCCACGUGCCGUUCUAGUGCCGCAGGGAAGCUGUUAAGCCUGCCGCCUGGGGAGUACGAUCGCAAGAUUGAAACUUAAAGGAAUUGGCGGGGGAG
rnacentral:rRNA from 1 species